rnacentral:rRNA from 1 species
CCAAUCGAACCCGGAGAUAGCUGGUUCUCCUCGAAAUAGCUUUAGGGCUAGCCUCAUACAAGUCUUGCGGAGGUAGAGCACUGAAUUUCCUAGGGGGCGUCAAAGCUUACCGAAGAAUAUCAAACUCCGAAUGCCGUGUAGAUGGUGUAUGGGAGUCAGACUGUACGAGAUAAGUUGGACAGUCAAAAGGGAAAGAGCCCAGACCGCCGGCUAAGGUCCCAAAGUGGGUGUUAAGUGGAAAAGGAUGUGGGAUCUCUAAGACAACCAGGAUGUUGGCUCAGAAGCAGCCAUUCAUUAAAAGAGUGCGUAACAGCUCACUGGUCGAGAGGUCCUGCGCCGAAAAUGUCCGGGGCUGAAACACCACACCGAAGCCGCGGAACCCGUAAGGGUUGGUAGAGGAGCAUUCUUAGGGGAGCGAAGCAUUACCGGAAGGGGAUGUGGACCGCUAAGAAGAGAGAAUGCCGGAAUGAGUAGCGAGAGCAAGGUGGGAAUCCUUGCGGCCGAAUAUCCAAGGUUUCCAGAGUAAAGCUGAUCUGCUCUGGGUAAGUCGGGGCCUAAGGAGAGGCAGAGAUGCGUAUCCGAUGGACAGCAGGUUUAAGAUUCCUGCACCCCUUGUUAUCAGAACUGCGGGGACACGGGAAGGGAAGCAGAGCCGGGAAUGGAAAGCCCGGUGCAAGCGAAGUAGUCGCAGGGUUGGAAAAUCCGCCCUGCAUGAGACGAAGGCGUGAUGCGGAGCGAAAUGAAGUAGUGAAGCUGCGGCCCCUUCCUGUCGAGAAAAGCCGCUAUCGUGUAGCAAGGGCCCGUACCGUAAACCGACACAGGUGGAUGAGGAGAGGAUCCUAAGGCCGGCGGGAGAAGUGUUGUUAAGGAACUCGGCAAAAUGACUCCGUAACUUCGGGAGAAGGAGUGCUGCGCAAGCAGCCGCAGAGAAAUGGCCCAAGCAACUGUUUAGCAAAAACACAGGUCUAUGCGAAACCGAAAGGUGAGGUAUAUGGGCUGACGCCUGCCCGGUGCUGGAAGGUUAAGGGGAGAGGUUAGCGCAAGCGAAGCUUUGAACUUAAGCCCCAGUAAACGGCGGCCGUAACUAUAACGGUCCUAAGGUAGCGAAAUUCCUUGUCGGGUAAGUUCCGACCCGCACGAAAGGCGUAAUGAUUUGGGCACUGUCUCAACAACACACCCGGUGAAAUUGAAAUACCAGUGAAGAUGCUGGUUACCCGCGCCAGGACGGAAAGACCCCAUGGAGCUUUACUCCAGUUUGAUACUGGGAUUCGGUACUGCAUGUACAGGAUAGGUGGGAGACGAAGAAGGAUGGACGCCAGUCUGUCCGGAGUCGCUGUUGGGAUACCACCCCUGUAGUACUGGGUUUCUAACCAGUUGCCAUGAACUGGCAAUGGGACAAUGUCAGGCGGGGAGUUUGACUGGGGCGGUCGCCUCCGAAAGGGUAUCGGAGGCGCUCAAAGGU